rnacentral:rRNA from 1 species
AUUGAACGCUGGCGGCAGGCUUAACACAUGCAAGUCGAGCGGAUAUGAGGUGCUUGCACCUUAUCUUAGCGGCGGACGGGUGAGUAAUGCUUAGGAAUCUGCCUAUUAGUGGGGGACAACAUUCCGGAAGGGAUGCUAAUACCGCAUACGUCCUACGGGAGAAAGCAGGGGAUCUUCGGACCUUGCGCUAAUAGAUGAGCCUAAGUCGGAUUAGCUAGUUGGUGGGGUAAAGGCCUACCAAGGCGACUAUCUGUAGCGGGUCUGAGAGGAUGAUCCGCACACUGGGACUGAGACACGGCCCAUACUCCUACGGGAGGCAGCAGUGGGGAAUAUUGGACAAUGGGGGGAACCCUGAUCCAGCCAUGCCGCGUGUGUGAAGAAGGCCUUAUGGUUGUAAAGCACUUUAAGCGAGGAGGAGGCUACUGAGACUAAUACUCUUGGAUAGUGGACGUUACUCGCAGAAUAAGCACCGGCUAACUCUGUGCCAGCAGCCGCGGUAAUACAGAGGGUGCGAGCGUUAAUCG